rnacentral:pre_miRNA from 1 species
CUACUACUCCCUUUGUCCGAAAAUACUUGUCAUUGAAAUGGAUGUAUCUAGAUGUAUUUUAGUUCUAGACACAUCCAUUUUGAUGACAAGUAAUUCCGGACGGAGGGAGUAUUAU